rnacentral:lncRNA from 1 species
UCUUGACCCUCUUGUCAGCCACAGGGAUGGAUGCCCUCCUGUCCGUCCUUGCUCUUCUGUCCAGAGAUAUUAGAAGUUCGAGGUAUGGGACCUACCUGGAGAUGUGGGGAUCACAUCUGGAGUUCCGGCCCCAGCAUCUGCAUGAAUUUUUUAAAAAAGGUAAAUUUAGGAAAUUUAGGAAAUCUAAGUUACAUUUU